rnacentral:rRNA from 1 species
GGUUACCGAAUUCAGACAAACUCCGAAUGCCAAUUAAUUUAACUUGGGAGUCAGAACAUGGGUGAUAAGGUCCGUGUUCGAAAGGGAAACAGCCCAGACCACCAGCUAAGGUCCCAAAAUAUAUGUUAAGUGGAAAAGGAUGUGGCGUUGCCCAGACAACUAGGAUGUUGGCUUAGAAGCAGCCAUCAUUUAAAGAGUGCGUAAUAGCUCACUAGUCGAGUGACACUGCGCCGAAAAUGUACCGGGGCUAAACAUAUUACCGAAGCUGUGGAUUGUCCUUUGGACAAUGGUAGGAGAGCGUUCUAAGGGCGUUGAAGCAUGAUCGNUGGAAAGAUGAAUCAAAGAAGGUAAUAAUCCUGUAGUCGAAAAUGUUGUCUCUCUUGAGUGGAUCCUGAGUACGACGGAGCACGUGAAAUUCCGUCGGAAUCUGGGAGGACCAUCUCCUAAGGCUAAAUACUCUCUAGUGACCGAUAGUGAACCAGUACCGUGAGGGAAAGGUGAAAAGCACCCCGGAAGGGGAGUGAAAUAGAACCUGAAACCGUGUGCUUACAAGUAGUCAGAGCCCGUUAAUGGGUGAUGGCGUGCCUUUUGUAGAAUGAACCGGCGAGUUACGAUUUGAUGCAAGGUUAAGCAGUAAAUGUGGAGCCGUAGCGAAAGCGAGUCUGAAUAGGGCGUUUAGUAUUUGGUCGUAGACCCGAAACCAGGUGAUCUACCCUUGGUCAGGUUGAAGUUCAGGUAACACUGAAUGGAGGACCGAACCGACUUACGUUGAAAAGUGAGCGGAUGAACUGAGGGUAGCGGAGAAAUUCCAAUCGAACCUGGAGAUAGCUGG